CGCCCACGGGGGGAGGGCGGAGGAGGGAGGAGCCAGCCGACGGGAAGCCAGCUAACGGUCGUAUCUCUAUCCAUCUCUCUACCUAUUUAUCGAUAUUAACGUCUCUCCCCCUCGAGACCGUGAGCCCGUCGCGGGCGGGAACGCGUCCGCCUGUCGUUACCUCGUCCUCUCCCAAGGGCUCAGUACAGUCCUCCGCACCCAGCAGGCGGUCGAUAAAUACGACCGAACGAGGGAACGCAGCGCUCCGCGCGCGGUAGGCGCUCGGUAGAUACCCCGGGUUGACUCACCGAGCGCCCGGUGGGGGCGACACGCCGUAUCGAGCGCCCGGGAGAGCACGACGGAAGCACGGGGCACUGUUCCCUGCCCCGGGGGAGCUUACACUCCCCACGCCGCGCACAACGAGGGGGACGAUUCGGAACCGAACUUGGGAGCAGACGGGAAGGCAGACGUGGAAGCGGGGCUCUUGGGGGUGGACGUGAACGGGACGGCGGAUGGAUCCGAAAGCCGGACGGCGGAAGAACGGGAGAGAGAGGGCACCGAUUCCUUGGAAGCGUCGGGGGUUGGAGGAGGCUUCUGCAGAAUACCACCGACGGCCCGAAAAACAGACAAGUGGAUUUUGGAGCAAAUUAAGCCAAAGUGGUCUUUGGAAGGCCAGACGAUUCGACGCCCAUCAGCACAGUCUGGACGGGUAAUCAGGAGGGCUCGUUCUCUGGAGAGACACUAAGGCUAGGAAAAGUCCAGGGAAGACGGACUCAGGAGGUCAUUAUUAUCAUUACGACUGUUAUCAUCACUA